GUGCUUGCUUGUGCAGCACAUACACUAAAAUUGGAAUGAUACAGAGAAGAUUGGCAUGGACCCUGUGCAAGUAUCAGACACAAAUUCUUGAAGCAUUCCAUAUUUAA
ensembl:snRNA U6 U6 spliceosomal RNA